rnacentral:tRNA from 1 species
GACUCCUUAGCUCAGUGGCAGAGCACUGGUCUCGUAAACCAGGGGUCGUGAGUUCGAUCCUCACAGGCGGCA